AUACGGGGGGUGCAAGCGUUGUUCGGAAUCACUGGGCGUAAAGCGCGCGUAGGCGGCUUGGUAAGUCGGAUGUGAAAUCCCGGGGCCCAACCCCGGAACUGCAUUCGAUACUGCCUGGCUAGAGUCCCGGAGAGGAAGGCAGAAUUCCCGGUGUAGAGGUGAAAUUCGUAGAUAUCGGGAGGAAUACCAGUGGCGAAGGCGGCCUUCUGGACGGUGACUGACGCUCAGGUGCGAAAGCGUGGGGAGCAAACAGGAUUAGAAACCCGAGUAGUCC
rnacentral:rRNA from 1 species